GACAGAGGGUGCAAACGUUGCUCGGAAUUACUGGGCGUAAAGCGUGCGCAGGCGGUGAUGUAAGACAGUUGUGAAAUCCCCGGGCUCAACCUGGGAACUGCAUCUGUGACUGCAUCGCUGGAGUAUGGUAGAGGGGGAUGGAAUUCCGCGUGUAGCAGUGAAAUGCGUAGAUAUGCGGAGGAACACCGAUGGCGAAGGCAAUCCCCGUGAACCUGUACUGACGCUCAUGCACGAAAGCGUGGGGAGCAAACAGG
rnacentral:rRNA from 1 species